AGUUGCCUGAGAUGCCCGAGUCUCACGUUUUUGAACCUUCAUGACUUAAACGGGAACCCGCGUCGGAGCAGAGCGGAUCAAGCCUUGACACUUUUAUAAGUGCUCCCGGGAGGAAGAUCUAAGACUGCCGCAGGGUACCCACCUGGCGUACUGCUGGGUGUCAAAAGGUGAGAAUCGGCAUAUCAGGUUCCUU
rnacentral:other from 1 species